CUGGAAUUUAUGCACUGCAAUUUGUAUACUUUUGAGAGUUUAAACUAAUGCAUUUAUGUUAAUUAUAUAUUAAUGGCUGCAGUAGGUCCUUUCUAAUGAGUGACUGAAUGGUGAACAGCAGGAUUGUCAUAAAUCUCUCCUUAGCCUAGCUGGGAGCCUCAUUCUCAUGAAUUGUGAGCAAAUUGCCUUCAAUGUCUUGAUUCAUGAGAGCAAGCAUCCCUAGCAGGCAAAGGAUGUAGUCAUGGUGUAAUUACCAAAAGGAUGUACGUAUUCUUGUGUUUCACUACGGCAUAAUUCAGUGAAUCUGACAGGGGGUCAACCUCAAAUGUAUUGAUGCUUAUGCUGUACUGGAGUGAGAAAAUGAUAUGCAAUUCUAUGUAUUUGCCACCAAACACUAGGUUAAUUUAAUACAUAAAACGAACAAGGGCCAUUCCAUUUAAUAUCCACACCCCCCUGCAGGGUCUUAGCUAGAGGGCCGUGUUAUCGCGGCCAAAAGUGGAAAAACACGGCUAGAUAAAAUGAACGCGGCUUCACUAUUUAUAUAAGGCCGUGUAGGUUCAUAAAAUAAGGUGGUGCAUGCUACUUACAACAGAC